AUGAUGUGAUCACAUUUGGAAUUCUUUCUACAGUUCUAGUCACAACACCUGAAAAGGAUAUUGUAGAGCAGAAAACAUGCAGAAAAGAGGAUUCAAAAUGAUCAGUGGGCUGGAGUGAAUCCCCUUUCAGGAAAGGGAAUUCCAUGUUACACCUGGCCCUAUUCAGCAAGAAGAGACAACAAGCUUGGUGUGGAGGAAGUAUAUAUGGAGCUCCUGGGAGGUCCAAGGCAGGAAACGUGUCCCCAAGCUUCCUGAUGUGUCUCAUUCGUCCCCCACUGAGAACUCCCCGUAGGCAUUAAGAGUAGACUUUGGUAAGCACUAUUGCUGUCCAUCACCUUUCCACCUCUGGGAAAAUACAUGUAAGACCCCAUUUUCUUC
ensembl:lncRNA